UGACACAGACUGAGGUUGAUGAAGAAGUCUUUGAUUUCCUCGUGAAAAAACAAAACCUAGGUGUGCUCGAGAAGGUCCAAAUUCAGAUGAUUGCCUGAGUUCCCCUGCAAGCAGCUCCUUUACCAGCUCCAGUGGGGAUAUUGAUGGGGACUCUGAUGACACUGUAAUAUUGCAGUGCAGUCCUGCCACAAGACGGAGAGCUGAAAACCUCUCUUGCCAAAAUGAUUGAAGAUGUUCUAAAGAACAAACCUGGCGGAGAGAGGAUCAUCAAUGAGUAUGCUCGGACAAAAGGUAUUAACAGACGGCAGGCGGAGCGACAUGGUCAAGAUAUUGGUUGCACAAAUAACAAGUGAACAUGGGACAAGUCCUUCAAGGCGUGUCAAAGAGGACCACGCAAAGGGGAUCAUCAACUUGUUCCCAUACCUGGCUGAUCCAAGGAGCAAGUUUGGUUAUGUAAGUACAGAAAACAAUUAGUCCUACCUAUUUAGUCUUCACUUCUAAACUCAACAGUUUUCGAGCAUGAUGUACAGCUAGAUUUAAAAAAUAUGUAUAUAUUAACUGCUUGGCUAUGGUUUGAGAAAAACUAAAGAUGUUAACAUUCAUGCAUGUCCACCAUCUCUGCCGUUUUUCCUUAACUGAUAAUUUAAAACCCUCUUGAGUUUAGCAGUCCAGUCUUGAGCAAGUUCAGCUCAGCUGCUGCAUUUUUUAGAUUUAAGUGUUAAAAUAUUUUAUCCUGCUAAUUCAAACUUGUUGAAAAUAACAAUUCAUUUCACUCUGAAUAAUA